rnacentral:pre_miRNA from 1 species
GAUGGGUUGAUUGAUGGAUUGGAGCACGGUUGAAGAUUGUUGUAAUGUAUUGACAAUCUUCAAUACAUUACAACAAUCUUCAACCGUGCUCCAAUCCAUCAAUCAA